CAUACUUGAGCCGGCGAAGAGGGAGAGAAACCAAGAAGAAUCAAGAAAGAGAUAGAGAAAAGGAAAAAGAGAAGAAGAAAUGAAGAAAGAAAAGGAAGAAGAAGAAGAAGAAGGAAGAGGAAGAAAAAAUUAUGGCAAUACCAACAUGGUCCUUAAAGUUCUUCCUUAAUUUCUUCAGAUAGUAGCUGAAUUGAGCAGCGAAGAGUCUGUUGAUCUGCCAAAUUGAACCACGCAUUAUCAUUAGUUGUAUAACUUUUUUUUUAUAUAGUUCAUUUAUAGGAAUAUAUGCAUCUCUUGUCGAAAAGCAUAUUCAUAUUACGGUUUCGCUGCAAUUUUGUAAAUGCUGUACAAUUUGGAGUCUUUUAGCUUGUUAAGAAGUAUAGAUUUCAUUCAUGUGUGCUUUAUUUUCUAAGGUUUAUAUUUGAAGGGGCCGGUGAAGCCUAUUUUAAAUUA